CUUGUGCCUUCACUGUAGUCUUCAUCCAGGAGGACCAGGAAGGAACAGAGCAGCACUGACAUCUGCCAGUCCCUGGGGUCAAGUGGCUUAAAAAAGGCACAGAUGUGACCUAAAUCCUGAUCACUGUGCUGGGGGCUCUCCUUGUGAAGACCGCAUCUUAGGGGACAGCCAGCCAUCUCGUUCCCUGAGGAUGUGCUGCCGUGGAUGCUGCUGUGAGUAUCACUAUUGCCAUUGUUAUGGUAACCACUUACAAGCACCUGCUAUGUGCCAGGUAAGAUAUUUGGCCAUCGUAGUGUAUAAGUGGUCAAGAGCACAUGGCUUACUGAUUCUGAACCUCAUUUAUUAUACCAAAAGUUCCAGAAGGAACAAAGAUUUAAAUGCAAUGGAGCUUGUGCCAAGACUUAUGGACAAGGAUACACUUUAGAGCCCCAAUAUAAUAGCAAAAGACAGGAAACCACUGAAGGCUCGUCGACAGAAGUUGAUUAAAUAAGUUAUAGCAUAUCCAUUUGUAGAAUACUCUGCAUUAGUUAAAAAGAAUGAGGCUAGGUCUGUAGCCAUUGAUAAUGAAACAAUCUCCAAGAUAUAAGUAAAGUGAAAACAAAGCAAGUUGUAGAAGAAUAUCUAGCAUAUGCUACUGUGUGAAAGCAAACAGAAGAGUAUAUGUAUAGACUAAUUUUAGAAAGAAAAAGGGAGUUGACAACAGUGAUUGCUUUUGGGAGAUGUGUUGAUGAUCUGGGUAGCAGGGACACUUACUUUUUAUGUUUCAAGGGAGUUAGGUCCUUUUUAUUCCUUACCAUAUGCAGGUAUUAUUUUUGAAUUUAAAAAGUUUAAGAAAUAAAUGCUGUGGAGUCAGACUUGGAUGUAAAUCCAAUUGCUAUCAAUUUCUAGCCAUGUGGCCUUGACUAAGUUACUUACCCUCUUCUAGUCCUGGUCUUCUAGCUGCCAGAGGGGGACACUCUGUAGCUUGUGGUGAGGGUUAAGCGAGAUAGUGCCUGUGAAGUUCUCAGCACAGUGUCUGGCACAAAAGCAAACCCUCAAUUGUUAGAUGCUUGCUCUGAACUGUUUAUGUCCCUCCAAAAUUCAUAUAUUGAUGUCCUAAUCACCAAUGUGAUGGUAGUUGGAGGUGGGGUGUCUUUGGAAGGUAAAUAGGUUUAGAUGAGUUCAUGAGGGUGGAGCACGCAUGAUGGGUAACCCUUAUAAGGAGAUGAAGGGACCAGAGCUCUCUCUACCUUGUGAAGACACAACAAGGAGACAACUGUCUGUUCACCAGGAAGAGGGAUCUCACCAAGAACCCAAGACUGCCAGCCUCUAGAAGUGUGAGAAAUAAAUGUUUGUUGUUUAAACCACCCAAUUGUUAUAACAGCCCAAACUGACUAAGACAGUGCUUUACGUAAGUAUCUCUAAUUAGCAUUCUGGAUGUAGUACUAUUCAGUUAAGCUAUGUUCUGUGCAUUAGGCACCUAGCAAAAUCUGAUGAUGUGCAAGCAAUGGAAGAGUCACACAGUGGAGAACCAACUGCAACAAUCCCAGGAGCAAAGUGCUAUGGGACCACAGAAGAAAGUAGGUUUCAAUUUGCUGGAGGGGUAUUGAUGGGUAUAGGGUAGGGAUCCAGGAAGCGUUCACCAAAGAGGCAGCAGUGGAGAUCUGGGUUUCACAGGAUGAGAAGAAGCAGUUCCAGCAGAGACACCACAUGAGAAAAGGCACAGGGUGGGCGGGGGGCUUGGGGCUUAGAGCCCUAUAUCUCCGCUAUGGGGCUGGAGAGCAGAAUGUGAGGAGAGAUGGGCAGGGCCCUCAGGUGGAGACAAUGGGCAUCAGUUCCCCUCACAGCAGUGCCUUGUCCACUCCUUUCCUGUGGUCACCUCCUUGAGAUCCUAACCAGUUUUGCAAUGCCGCAGAACUGGGGCAAAAUUAUGGUAGCCUUUUUGCAAAAAUGUCCUAGGGACUUCUAUCCACAGCCCUCGUGUCAUGUUAGCUGGGGAAGUAGCAGCAACAUGUGUUCUUUAGGGCAGGAGUGAUUCUAUCCUAUAUGCUUCCAAUACUGCAGUCAGUUACCUCGAGACACUACUCCCCCGAAAGAGUCAUACAAAGGAUUUGUAUGCAUGUACUGUUUUCUCUACCAAUUAUAUAUCUGUCUAUAAAAUAUAGAUAUGUUUUUCUGUCUAAGCAGGGAAGGAUCGAUGCAGGGAACUGUGAUUAAACUAGACAUCUCUGACAGGAAGAAGAGCUGGAAGGACUGACAGGCUCCGGUGGCCACCCUACAACCAGAAGACAGACACCUGACAAUGUAUUGUCAGAUGAUGGAUUAGCCAAGCCUGGGGAAGAGAGCUGAGUGUACAGCUUCCCUCCCAGUCUCCUGGGUGACAAAACCGCUGGAUGACCCCGCCAACAAUAAUGAGAUGAAAAUGAAGAACACUGCAGUAUAAUGAGCAUGAUAAAAUAGAGAUGUUGCUAAAUAAUGGGUCGGCCAUGGCUGAGGAGCAGGAGAAAGAGCCAAGCCCAAAGGAGGUGGAUAAGGCCUUCCUGUGUGGUCUCCAAGCCUGACCCCCUGAUGUGUUGCUGUUGCUCAACCAGGCCAUAGAUGGUUUUGAGUCCCUAGGGUGGCAAAGAUGUCAGAGAGGGACUAGAGGGUGGGCCUAAGUGAAAAUCCCCAGCAGGCUCUAUCCUGGUCACUGUGGCUCUGACCUCCACCAGGGGAGGGACAAAAGUGUGGUAAGCACACAUGCUGAUGGUGGUUAUGAAUUACUGCCUUUAGUAGGAACCUGUUGCCUGCCAAUGAGUAUCAGCAAAUGGUCUGAGUUAACGCAUCAAAGUUUUUCAGAACAUUGCACCUCUCAUCUACAUAGUGCAGAGUGGAAGAAGCCUGUUAAUUAUGCUUUUGUUUGUAUUUUUGUUUAGUUGGUAGCUUGGAGUAUCUGCCAGCAGAGGCAGCUGCCCCUAGGGAGGGAGGUACCUGGGUGCUACAGGGAUGGCUGCCUGUAAAGAUUUCUGGCACCAAGCCUCUCUGCAGUUUUUGUUUUUUAUUUUUUAAAUAAUUAAAUUAAGACUUAUUUUUGAAUAAGUAAUAUCUACAUAGAGUACAAAAUUUAAAAGGAACAAAAGGGGUGCAGGAAACAUACAUAUCCCUUCUUCUCCCCCUAUUCCCAGCCACCCAUUUUCCUUCCCUCGAGGCAACCACUGUUACCAGUUUCUUCUGCAGUUUUCCAGAGAUAUUCUAAGCAUAAAUAAGUGCAUGUACCUCAACCUGCAAGCAUACUUACCAGUUUUUUUUUUUAAAAAAACACAAAUGUUAACGUACUGUAUCAACAAGAGUCCUGACAGAAAACAGAUGGCACACAUAAAGUGAGUCAUUUCAGUAGAGUUUAAUAAAUGGACUGUUUACCAAGGUGUAGGAAAAGCCCAAAGCCAGCAACAGUUGAGUGAGAGGGCACAGUGACAUAGUGUGAGCAACACUGCCAGUUGAGGAGCAUUCCAGGGAGGUGUGGGGGCAUAAUCACCUGUCCUUCCUCUCCUCCCUCUGACCUUUUGCUGCAGCACCUCAUGGGCUGCACUCAACCUAAGCCAGAGAACAAGAGUCUAUUGAUGCAGUUUAAAGAGGUCACUCUGGGGCACGGAACAGGUGGGGAAGGGCCAAGAGUGAAUAAGGAGGGCAAAUGUGGGCACUCAGCUCAUGCACUCAGCUCCUCAUCCUGUUCUUUGCUGUUUUCCACUUCACAGUCUAUCUGUACAUAGAGCCUCAUUCUUUCUGCUAGCUUAUUCUAUUGCAUUUCCGUUGUGGAAUACCACGCCACAUGCAAGAGACUGAAUUGUGACCCCCACCCCAAUUAUAUGUUGAAGUCCUAACACCCAAUGUUAACUGUAUGUAGAGUGAAGAAGUCAUUAAAGUUAAAUGAGGCCAUAAGGGUGAUGCCUAGAAUAAGGCUUAUUAAGAGGAGACACCAGAGCUCUCUAUCUGUCAUGUGAGGACACAGCCAGAAGAUGGCAGUCUGCAAGCCAGGAACUCAUCAGAAAACCCAGCAGCAGGAACCCUGAUCUUGAACUUCCCAGUCUCCAGAACUGGGAGAAAGAAAUGUCUGCUCUUUAACCCACCCAGUUCAUGGUAUUUUGUUAUGGCAGCCUGAGCUAAGACACCACACACACACACACACACACACACACACACACACACACACACACACACGUAAUAUAUCACAAAAAUAAUAAUAUAUACAACCAUAUAUUCAACUAGUCCCUCACUGAUGGUCUUUUAAGAUAGUUUCCAAUUUUCUGCUAUUACAAACAAUGCUGCAAGGCAAAUCCUUUUACUGCCAUUUCACUGGUAAGGAUACAUACAGAAUAAAUUCCAUAGGAAUUUAUUUAUAGGAAGGGAUUGUUGUAUCAAAGAAUGUAUGCUUUAAAAAUGUUGAUAGAUUCAGCUGCAGCACCCUGCAUAGAAUUUGCACCAAUUUGCAUGCACAUUAGCAAUGUAUAAGGUUCCCAUGCAGUUUUUAAACAUCUGGGUUUCGAAGACGUGAAUAAACUUAUUACAGCAUCUUUCCAGCAGUGCCUGUCACCUUACAAGACAUAAACUUUUCUUGUUUUUGAAAUUAUGAGAAUACAUAAUUCUCCUCUUGUUUUCUGUCCUGUCUUUCAGCUUUUUUCAGCAGGGAUAAAAUUCCUCCACUCCUGAAUGAAAUUCUUAUGGUUUUUCUUUGGGCACAGUUCUGACUCAUUUUAAGUCAUAAAUUAACUGCCUCAGUUAAGAUGUUAAGUAUCCAGUUUUUCUUUCUGGGCAUGAACAAGCCAAUUAUAUAUGAAAACAUACCUUAGAGACAGUUAGGAAACCCACAUAUGUACAGGUACCAGGACAUGCCAAGGAAUCAUCAUUAAUCCCACAACAUUGCUGUGGCACGCAGGAAAACAUCCUUAUUCUAUGAAGAGGCAGUCUGAAGUAUCCAGAAAUGUGAAACACACGUCUUCAAUCUACCCCAACACUUCAGCAAAAACAAGAUGAAGCAAAUAUGCAAAACAGUAACAAUCAUUACAUCUAGGUGAUGGACACCUUCCUUUAUGUUCAACAACUCUCAUAAUAAAAAACUUAGAAGAGAUGUCUAGCCAAGACAAUAAUCAAUACUUCACACUUCAUCCAUAGGUAAGACUCCUCCCUCUCCUCCCCCUGCUGCUCCCCAGCCAGGGCCAGCAGUGAGAGAGUCUGUGAUCUAGGAAGGAGGUUGCAGUGGCUUC
rnacentral:lncRNA from 10 species